rnacentral:lncRNA from 1 species
CCUGCGCCACCACCACCACCAGACAUAUGCUGCCCAAUCUUUGAAACAGCCUUGUUGGCCGCUUCGAUAUUGGCCUUGAUCUUCUCGAUGUCAUCUGAGGUCAUCACAGAGCGGAGAUCGGCGAUUGCUGUCUCAAUCUCAGUGGCAACCUCUGCAGGAAUCUUGUCCCUGUACUCUCCCAGACUUUUCUCAACGCUGUAAAUGGUAGUGUCAGCGUUGUUUCUGAUGUCAAUGAGGGCUUUCCGCUCCUGAUCCUU